AAAGAGCAUUGGGUACGAGAGUGUGUACAGUUAAGCAGUGUUGCUGGAGAGGCAGACGUGGCGGCGGAGCACGGAAUAACUCGGGCAGCAACGUUCCCCCGAUAGCGCAAGAAUCUCAUACAAACUGCGCCAGCUGAUGGGGGAUUUUGGACUUCAGAUAGACAAAUACGUAAGAGCUUUAUCACCCGUGGAUUUUGACCAGCUUGCAGACAUAAACAAUCAGUCAUUUUUCACAGACCCGUUGCCUCUGAGUGAUAAAAUGCAAGAUGACACGCUGCUCGAAAAAUCUUCUGCAAAACAAACUACGUUAUCGCCCAACCCGCUGCAAACUAACGGUACUGAACAGCUUGAAGACGAAAGUAGUAAAACUAUGAAAAAUGGACUAUCAGUGAACUCAACAGAAGAAAAGAAAAGUGAUAUUUUGAAUUCAUCGCCUCUCCAUCUGGGUCUAUCGACAGCUGACCAUACUGUACCAAAUGUAAACGUUACACCUGUUUCCCUUUCAUCCUCAGCUGGCCUGGAUCUUAACCAGUGGUCAUCGGCCCCAGCAGACGACACGUUUUUCCAAGGCUUUCAGUCAAUCAAUGGAACUGUUACCUUCCAGCAGUUUCCGUCAGCCCCAAACUCCGUACUAGGCCAAAGCACCCCUGGAUUCCACUCUGUUAGUCAUGUUGGCGUAAGUGGACCUCAUCAGCAGCCUUCUUCAGCAAGACGCGCAAUAACGGCUCACCAUAAUUUUCCUCAGCGACAGGCCAACAUCAUGUUAAAUAAUCAUCCCAAAUCUUACCAGAAUUGGAGUAGCAACGCGCACCAGCCGCCAGUUACCUGGCCAGGCCAGCAGGGACAGGCGACACUAUGCCCUUGGGCUAGCAUGCCGCCUCAGCACCAGCGCAGGUCUGUGCCAAAUGUGAGUACGCUGACACCUUUGAGCAUGAAGAAACAGAGCAUUCAACACCAAAUACAGCAGCACCAGCACCAGCAGCAGACCCUGUUGGCACCCCCAAAAUUUCGCAGGAGCACCUCUUUCCCAGGUCAGAUUCAUCAAGCUACAGCAGGGAUCAAGCAGCUGGAUUUAAACACCUCAGAUGAUGUGGGUAUUCACAGAGAAGGGCUGGUUACAUAUCAGGAUCGCACUGGACAAUUUGACACAAUGAAGUUUCCAGCUCUUGAGAACCAGUUGUUAGAUAUUAUGAGGACAGCUUCAAUGGAACAUCAUUCUCAUGAAGGAUUUAAAAGUAAAAUUCCAUAUUUCAGUUACUUAAUAGAAGAAAAUCACUUGCUUGAAGAUGGCUCUUUGGAUCAAACUGUACCUAGUCUAGGCACUCCACCUCACUCCUCACCAAAUUCUGGCAUGGAACGUAUUGAGCGCUACUCCAGAAAAGUUUUUGUUGGUGGUCUGCCACCGGACAUUGAUGAAGAAGAGAUCACAGCAGCCUUUAGAAGAUUUGGACCCUUGGUUGUUGACUGGCCCCACAAAGCAGAGUCUAAGUCAUAUUUUCCUCCAAAAGGUUAUUGCUUCCUCAUUUUCCAAGAUGAACUGUCAGUGCAGAAUCUAAUUGAUAUGUGUCUUGUUGAUGAAGAAAAACUUUACUGGUGUGUCUCAAGCCCUACUAUGAAAGACAAACCGGUUCAAAUCCGACCAUGGACAUUGAGUGAUUCAGAUUUUGUAAUGGAUGGAUCACAACCUCUUGAUCCCCGCAAAACAAUAUUUGUGGGUGGUGUUCCUCGUCCACUCAGAGCUGUUGAACUAGCGAUGAUCAUGGACCGGCUGUAUGGUGGAGUAUGCUAUGCAGGCAUUGACACUGAUCCAGAGCUCAAGUAUCCAAAAGGAGCAGGACGUGUUGCAUUUUCUAACCAGCAGAGUUACAUUGCUGCUAUUAGUGCUCGUUUUGUGCAGCUGCAGCAUGGAGAUAUUGACAAAAGGGUGGAGGUUAAACCAUAUGUGCUGGAUGAUCAGAUGUGUGACGAGUGUCAUGGGUCAAGGUGUGCAGGCAAGUUUGCUCCAUUCUUCUGUGCCAAUGUAACCUGUCUGCAGUACUAUUGUGAGUACUGCUGGGCUCAGAUCCAUUCUCGUCCUGGACGUGAGUUUCAUAAGCCCUUAGUUAAAGAAGGAGCUGAUCGACCUAGGGCUGUUCCCUUCCGUUGGUGUUAAAUGGCAAGCAAGUGCUGGAGCACUGAGAGUUUAUUGGUUGCAUAUCAUUGUCUUCAUUCAGGCAGAGGGAAUCCAUAGAUCCCUUUUAAUAAUGUUUCAGUGUCUUUGGUGUAAGGUUUUGUGUUCAUUGUGUAAUGGGAGUGAUGCUGAAAUUAUUAGUAAUGAAAUUCCAUCUGGUUUGUCAGGGAGUGCAAUGAUUUCAAGGUUGUGCAUUAGUCUUAAUUUAUUUCUGCUCAAUUCUAGAACAUCUGUAUUUGGUGACAUGGUGUUCAAGGUUUUAUAUUAGAACACAGUUGCAUAUAUACAGAUUUUGGAUGGAAUUCUCACUUGGAAAAGAAGCUGUAUAAACUGGAAAUAUUUAUUUUUGUAACCAAGAUAAUUUAUUUCAGUUGUAAUGAGUUGUGCAUAAAAUUGUCAGUAAUUACCUGUAUGUGUGUUUGCAGUUAAGUGUUAAAUUAUUUUCAGUCAGACAGGUCUAUUAACUCUUGGUGUACCAGUCAUUUGAGCAGACUUCACACCUUGUGUUUGAAGUAGCCUUUUCAUCUGGAGUUCCUUUAUCUUUCUUUGAAUUCUGUUAAAAAACAAAAGUGACAUUAAUCAGGAAGGCAACUAUUUUCUUGGCCAACUUGCAGCUGUUUUGCGAGUUGCUAAAUUUAGCACAUUCUGAAGCAUUGCUACAUGUUGAACUUUUUUUUUUGUAUUGGUCUGUAAUUUUUUUUGUUUCAAACAAGGAGUUGUAGAAGGUAUUUUUAUGUGUUGCUACAACAAUACACCUGUUUUUUUAUUGUUACAUAUUCUUCCUGUUUCAACUUUGCAUGGUGUUUGGAUAAAAUAAUUCAUAUUUUUUAAAAUGUGACUUUUUGAAGUUAGAUGUUUGUGUGUUUCAGGUUUUUUCUCCCAGGCUUAGUGUUGUUGUUGGUUUUUAAUCUCUGAUGUUAAAAUGUUGUCAAUUUUGGAGUAACUAGCACUUUUAUAAAUGCUUCCAUUUUUGUAAAAGUUGAUAGGAAAGGAUGUUCAGAUUGAAUGUGGUGUGCGCCAUUGAAGGUGCUUUAGUAAGUUGCAUGGUCCUUAAUAAUAUGUUUGGUUCCUGGUAUGUAACAGUGUGUCAAAAAAUGAUUACAUUUUAAUGUAAUUUCAUUUGUUGCCCACGCAGACUGCUUUCUCAUAUCCGAUCUGUGAUCAGGUAAGGCAUCUGAGGGCCAUCUUUCUUUUUAGCUGUCCCUUUUCAACAAACUUUUUAAAUACCCUUAAUGUGAGAGAAGGACCUGCAGCCUUUACUACAAGACUUCUUUACUGCAGACUAUAUAACAGAAAACACACUGACUGAUAUGUGAUAGAUGAAGAUUGUUGUUACAGAGUCAAAUCAGGUGGAGUCAGCAAUAAGUUAUGAAAUAUGUAGAUGUCGCAUAGGUAUAUAUUGCAGUUUCUUUGGUAAAAUAGGUAAAUGUUUGAAAAUGAGAACCUUGGUUAGAGUUGUCCGCAUCACAUCUGAAGCCCUUUAGUUUAUUUUGAACAUAUUUUUGAAUGACAAGGUGCAGUAAUUGGUCAUUGCAUUUUGCAGAGGAAUAUGCAUUUCCCAUUAAAGUAUCUCCUUCACUUUUGCUCACACACUGUCACUUUAACUUACAUGGAUUACUUUUAGAUAUCAGUACCUGUUGAUACAAUUUUUUUAAUGUGCAUGUAUCAGUUUUUCUGUUCUUUGAACAUAUUCCUUGCUUCCAGAAUAUUUUUUUAGGUAAAUAAAGACUCAGAUUUUUCCUGUCUUCAAAUUUGAUUUGGGGAGAUCAUUGUAGCACAUCAUGUAGGCAGGCAGUUGGUGAGUAUCCUCAAACUGCACUGGCAUCCUUUUUAAUAAAAGAACAGUUCCCUUACCCACCUGUCUCCCUUGUAUUUGAAGAUGUGUUUCUUGAUGAUUAGGUUGUGGAUGCAAAGAGGAAAGAUUACAAUGUGGUUUUGUAUUGUAAAAAAAAAGUUCAUAGGGCGUUAUAUGCUUUCUUAUAAAAUGCUUUAGUUUCUUGCAAUUAAAAGUAAAACUUAAUUGACUUGUGAAUCGAAAUUUAACAACUUUCAUGCAGCUUUUUAUCAUUCCAUUUGAAUUUUAUACUUGAACUCGUAGCUUGUUGAAAUAUUACCAAAUGGUACACACAAAGCUUAUUUUGGUGCACCCAGAAUGAGUUCAUAUACUUUUGCCACUUCUUGUAUGAUGCAGUAGGAUGUAAACCAUUUUUUAGCACAAAUUUGAAUGCUGUAAUUUUAUAAACUAUCACACUUCCUAGCCUCUCUCUUUGAAAGAAAAGAGUACUGUAUUUAUACUUUUUCACAUUUGCACCAUUCCAUAGAGUUCUAUUUUUCCUACGUCAUGUAUGUAAUAGUUUUCUGUGAACAUUUUAAUACACAUUAGAGUAGUUUUUGAAACAGAAUGAUAUGAUCUUGGAGUUUCUUUUUGUACAACACUCAACUUUUUGACAAAAAAAGACUGCCUAUCCACUGCAGUUUUUAAUGUGUGAAAGCAAACAGCGCUGGUCAGUUGAAGGACCAGCGACAUAAUUUUGAGACAUGCACCAUUUGCUACUUUUAUACAGACCAUAUGUAUUCUGUCGAAGUAAUUUUGUUGGUCAUAGUAUUGUAAUGAACUUUUUCUUGCUUGCACUGAUUUAAGGCUGUGUGAUUAGUGUUAGAUGCUAGGUAGCCUUGGACUUCACUUGUGUCUUAUUGAAUUACUGGGGUUUUUUUUUUUUCAACGUUUGCCAAAAUUUGUUGAUGUACCUUCCAUCUAUUAUUUUCUGCAGUAUGCAGAUUACAUCUGAAAUGGAAAGUUCCAACUGGGUGGGGGUGUGGUUGUGGGCUGUAUUUGCAGUACUAGAUCAACAUCUGUUCUGAUUUUAGAAGUUUAGAUUUUAAAACUGUAUGAAAAAACUGAAUGGACAGGCAUAGUUAGGAAAGUAGUUAUGCAGUAUAUCAGACAUGUUGAGAAUAAAUUGCUUCAGUAGAAGGCAUCAGUAUUCUUAGGGAUCAGGGUAAAUGUGGAAUCCAUGUCAGAGCACUCACAAAUAGAUCCUAAGGAAGAAACUUGGGGUGAUUUGGAGCGUAAUGGUACAUAUAGGAGACUGUUGGAACAUGAGUCAUCUUCAUGUCUGUUUUCCUUAGCAUCAGCAGGGCAAGAUUAGGUCAGAUGUCAGCAUAAAGUCAUGAUCAUGAUCGAGGCUCAUCAUGCCUUUAAAAUAGAUAAUACCUACAUGCUAUUUGUCACUUCAGCGUUAUAUUUAAAAAAUAACCAGUGCCUUGAAAGCUGUACAAGACAUUCGCACAGUUGAAUGUUAAUUUUGUGGAUUGUGAGGCUAAUGUUUCAGUGAAGAUAGUACCACAAAAGUAGCUGUUCUUCUAAGAAUCCUAUUUUCCUUUAAAGUGGAUACCCCAUAUCAGGAAAGAGGGAAUCAAAAUUUAUCACAAAUAUUAACAGUUCCUUUAAUGUGAAUGGUGAUGUUAAUCACCUGUCAGAUAAUCUCUGGCAUAAAAUGCACCUGUCAGCAACAUAAUAAUAAUACAGCGAAUAUAUAACACCAUAUCCCAGUCCUAUGGGCAGGCUUAUGGUGCUUUACAGAGAAACAUACGGACAGACGCAAUAAUCAUAGAAUACUAUUUGAGAUGAAAGAUAUGUAGCAGAAGCUACUGCCGGCUUGCACAAUUCAUUUGAAAAAAAAAACUGUUAUCCAGGCUGCAAAUGUUUCUUUCCACAACGUCAGUUGUACUUUUUUGUACUUUCGCAUUUUGUGAGAAUGGCUUGGCUUUAGAAAUCUCAUGCACUUACCCACCCACACAUAUAUUCACAAAUUGGCAAAUACAGGACAGACCAGUCAAAUCGGAUAAUGAACACCUGCUAUAUAGAUCAUGUUUUAAAAAGAAAAUUGGUGUGGUUCUUGCAGGCCUUACGAGCUGAAUAGAUUGUCAAGAACUGAAAGAUAUGACAGCACCAUAUGCACUUGCUUCUCUUUCAUAACUGUUCUUCACUUUAAUUAAUACUUUUAGAAACGUAUGGUGUUUGUUUUUUGUUAUACCAUUUGGAUGAUUUAUAUUUGUUUCAAUACAAGAAAAUGUGGCAGAUAUGUACUCACUUGUAAAGGGUUUUCUCUAUGACCACCAAAGUAUGUUAUACUUUAUAGCUAUUACAUUAAUUUUUUAAAACUAAUUUUAUUAAUUAUUUUAAAAAAUUUCUCUCCUUUAUUUAGUCUUCUUGCUGUUGAUUACUGAUUGUAUGAGGUACAUUACUAGUCGGAAAGCAUGUAUUUUUUAUAGUAUAAGAAUACUCGAAAAUGCCAGAAAUCGUCUUGUCUAGUCACUUUAAUAAAGAAAACUUUUUUAAAAAUAAUGUACCACUGUUGCACUGCUAAAUUAGUUUUUCCUGGCAACAUGCUUUCUUUUUAACAUUUUUCAGUCUGUGUAUAUUAAUAAAGAAUAAAAGGAUUUUUAAAGUAAUGUUUUCCUCAUUGUUUUCAUAGCCUCAUUUACAGAUUUUAUACAGACCUGCUUGAUGCUUUUUAUUAAUAGGUAGAAACAUAGAUGGCAGAUCUAUUCCAUAAAAUUUCACUAUAAGGCACAGUCAAUUGCCUCUGUAGUCUGCUUUGGCCAGUAUUAGGUGUUGCUUAGCUUGGAAAAAGGUUUAUUCUUCCACACUUAGCUGUCAUAGCUGCAUUAAAAAAGUCUGCUAAUUGAUAUUUGGUAUGCAUGAAAAAUUAAAAAAAUAUUCAAACCCACUGUUUAUCUACAUUACAGGAAAACAAUUUAAAAGAAAACUUAUCAGCUCAGAAAAUAUUGGCUAUUGAUUUUCGUGAUGAACUGGUGUCAGAAGUUUCCUUAAAUAUCUGCAUACUAUUUUGAUGAGCAUUUUAUUUUUUAAGUCUGGUUCAAAUGCUGUUUAUGAAACCUUUGUUAUUCUUCUUCAGUCUGGAUUACAAAGAUUGUGAAACAGCUUUUUCUUUUUCAUAUGUGGUAUUGAGUUGGCAAAAGCCUGUAGCAAGCAUUUUCACCUAAACACAUACAGGUUUUAACCAUUUGAACAUGGGAUAAACCUGAAACAAAACCCUUAUUUCAUUGUUGUAGAUUUUUUAAUGCUUUUGAUGAGAAUUGGUAUUUAAUCUCGGUUCGAACUGACGUAGGAGACUUGCAAGCUGGAAGCAUGUAAAGUCAUGUGCUGUUUCUUUCACUGCGGGUAAAGUGAGUACAGACAGAUUUGGCCAGUUGUUUGUUGUUAUAUUUAGUAUUUUGGUCAUUGUUUGUUCAAGUUGUUUCUCAGAUGUAUUGUUUUAGCACUUUUUUUAAAAAUGAAAACCGGACAAGUGGGCUGCUGCCAAAAUCUUGUGAAGUUUGUGCUGUACACAUACAUCAUGAUGAUUGCCAUUUGUUAUUUGUAGCAUUAUUUAUCUACAUAUGUAUAUUUUUUGUUUAGACUGUAUAGUUUGGCUGAUGUCCACUAUUUAUUAUCAUGUUUUAUUUUUCUUUAUGUCUAAUUUAUUCCUGAGAAUACAGUUACAUAUUCAACACAUCACUUGCCAUUUUGCUCCUGCAGGGGUGUAGAAGAUUACAUCUUUGAACUGUCUGCAGUGUUUCCAUGUGUAAACUUGGUGAUGGGAUGGAACUCUUCAAGUGCAAUAUUUCACAUUCAAUUUUAUUUCUUAGCCUUGUUUAUUUUAAGCUAUAUGUUAUUGUUAUGUCUAAGAGGAAUGCAGCUGUUAAUACUUAGGCCAUUGUGGCACACCUACAGCACUAUUUUUAUUGGGAAAAAAAUGUGUUGGAGAACUGUGUAUAGAAAUGUGGAUAACCAAUACUCUCUGUACUAACAUGAUUCUUACACAGUACCAGUAGAGUAUAGCAACUGCUGUUAAAUUCAGUUUGAAAAAUAGUUUAUCUAGUUUUGUAAUCCGGUAUUAUUGUGGUUGCAUGUCUCAGUUCCUUUUUUGUUGGUGCCCACUCCUCCAGUGCUGAAGGCAGAUCAAGGACAGUUCUUUGCUCUUAGUGGUACACAUUUGUCAUAAGUAUUUUUUUAGUUCUGUCUUUCAGUAUUAGUACCGUUUUAAUGUGUACAGUAAUUGUGUAUUUUCUGACAUUGAUUUAAGGGGUUGGGGUUGAAUUUUGGGUUUGUGUUUGUGCUUUGUUCUGUGUCACAUACAAUUUGUUUUUGGUUGAAUCCUGUGAAAGGAUUAAAUAUUAAUUAGCAUAUUUUUGGAUCUUUGAUUCCUCCCUUCCCCCAAAUGGUAUUGCCUUUUGUUACACAAGAAUAAUUGCUGGAAUAUUUUCCACGGAUUUUGCGUCUGCAAGAGAUAUGCCUUUAGAUUAACAUUGGUUGUCAAGUUUAAACUUACAACCUGUUACUCAGCUGAUAAGUGCAUGUGAGUUCCUGAUUGUCGACCAAUUUUCAUACAGUUGUGUUUUGUAUAUGGGAAGUUCAUUAGCUAUUUUGUUGAAUGCAGUUAAGAAUUAUCUUAAAGUUUCUAUGUUUUUAAUAAAAGAACCUGUUCUUUUAUAACGUCUUUGGUGUCCUUGGUGGCUUUUUUAUUUGACAUUUUGAUGACUUUUUCCCCUAUUUUGACAUCAGAUUCAGUGCAAAAGAUACAGGCUGUUUACACUGGUUUGUGAUUGUGGAUGGUAGGCUGGGGUUCGUUUCAUUUGUUGCUGCGAUGUUAUUUAUACUUUUAAACUAAUUUUGUAAUAACUUUUUAAUCUAUUACAGUUUGUGUAUGGAUUUUCUUCAGGCAAAUAAAAGUCUUCGGUAUUUGACA
rnacentral:misc_RNA from 1 species